rnacentral:rRNA from 1 species
UACGGAGGGUGCAAGCGUUUAUCCGGAUUCACUGGGUUUAAAGGGUGCGUAGGCGGGCAGGUAAGUCCGUGGUGAAAUCUCCGAGCUUAACUCGGAAACUGCCAUGGAUACUAUUUGUCUUGAAUACUGUGGAGGUCAGCGGAAUAUGUCAUGUAGCGGUGAAAUGCUUAGAUAUGACAUAGAACACCAAUUGCGAAGGCAGCUGGCUACACAAAUAUUGACACUGAGGCACGAAAGCGUGGGGAUCAAACAGG